rnacentral:rRNA from 1 species
UACAGAGGUCUCAAGCGUUGUUCGGAUUCAUUGGGCGUAAAGGGUGUGUAGGUGGCGCGCUAAGUCGGGUGUGAAAUUUCGGAGCUUAACUCCGAAACUGCAUUCGAUACUGGCGUGCUUGAGGACUGGAGAGGAGACUGGAAUUUACGGUGUAGCAGUGAAAUGCGUAGAUAUCGGAAAGAACACCAACGGCGAAAGCACUCUGCUGGGCCGACACUGACACUGAGAGACGAAAGCUAGGGGAGCGAAUGGG